UACGGGGGGGGCAAGCGUUGUUCGGAAUUACUGGGCGUAAAGGGCGCGUAGGCGGCGGGGUAAGUCUGGUGUGAAAUCUCGGAGCUCAACUCCGAAAUUGCACUGGAUACUGCUCUGCUUGAGGGUUGGAGAGGAGAUCGGAAUUCACGGUGUAGCAGUGAAAUGCGUAGAUAUCGUGAGGAAGACCAGUGGCGAAGGCGGAUCUCUGGACAAAUCCUGACGCUGAGGCGCGAAGGCUAGGGGAGCAAACGGG
rnacentral:rRNA from 1 species